rnacentral:rRNA from 1 species
AUUGAACGCUGGCGGCAGGCCUAACACAUGCAAGUCGCACGAGUGGCGGACGGGUGAGUCAUGUCUGGGAAACUGCCUGAUGGAGGGGGCUAACUACUGGAAACGGUAGCUAAUACCGCAUACCAUCAGAUGUGCCCAUAUGGGAUUAGCUUGUUGGUGGGGUAACGGCUCACCAAGGCGACGAUCCCUAGCUGGUCUGAGCGGAUGCACAGCCACAAUGGAACUGAGACAAGGUCCAGACUCCUACGGGAGGAAGCAGUGGGGAAUAUUGCACAAGGGGCGCAAGCCUGAUGCAGCUAUGCUGCGUGUAUGAAGAAUGCAUUCGGGUUGUAAAGUACUUUCAGCGGGGAGGCGUUACCCGCAGAAGAAGCACCGGCUAACUCCGUGCCAGCCGCCGCGGUAAUAC